GAAGAGGACUCUGGGAGGGGAAGUGUUGCUCAGGGGCUGGAGCUGCCUGGCCUGAGAAGGCCGAGGCCCAGCCGGACACCGGGGGCGGGCGGCUCUGGGGGUGCAGCAGGUCCUGGCCGGGAGCCCCAUUCCCCCAGGAAGGGGCCGCACGGACCCCAGGCGGACUCGACUGCCGACCCCAGGACGCUGCGGCCCCCACGAUGGCACCGGCCGUGGGUCAGCGGCCUCCUGCCCCGGGAGCCCAGGGCCACGCAGGGCGCAGAGUCCGGGCCACCUGAGGUCUGGGGGAGGAAGCUGCGGCCCCUGGGCCUCGCGUGUCCCGGGGACGCCUGGCCUCGGCGGGGGCAGGGCAGCUGCCGCUCCCAGGCUGUGACCCUCCGCGGCCACGGAGCCGGGCUCCCGGGGUCCCCGAGACUGUCUGCGCUCUGGGCGCCUGACCCGCGCCGGGGUCCUGAGCCACACCUCGCGGGGGAAGAGAAGAGCCCCCCAAGGGCCGCGCUCGACUGGGGGGCACAGGCAGCCGGCUGGCCUUUCCCCGCGGGAGCUCCCCGAACACUGGCUCCCCGGGAGCUCCUGUCCUGCGGGCCCUGCCCAAGGCGGCGGCGGGAGGGGGCGGGAGGGGGCCGUGGGCUGGGGGGCGCCCGGCCCGGGGCCGCUGUCCUCGCAGCGCCCACGCACCGUCUCGGGGGGCUGGACCCCGCGAGUGGGCGGCAGGGCCCGGCUCCGUGGACAGGAGGGCCGGCAGGUGUGCGGGAGUGGCCGAGGGGCCACACGGACCAGCCCCCCAGGAAGGUCCCGCGGGAGCUGCGCCCCCACAGCGCGGGGACAGCCCCCCCUUGUGCUGAGGGCAGAGCUCCCAUCAGGGAACCCCGAGUCCCCUGCGGUCCGGUGCUGCGCGGAGCCACGGUCCUUCAUCCCUCCUCAGUCCCCUCCUCCCUCCUGCGCCCCGCUGGGGAUCGCCCCCCACCUUCCCAUCUUACAGAUGUGACACCGAGGCCCUGA
rnacentral:lncRNA from 1 species